rnacentral:rRNA from 1 species
UACAGAGGGUGCGAGCGUUGUUCGGAAUUAUUGGGCGUAAAGCGCUUGUAGGCGGCCUGUCAAGUCGCGUGUGAAAUCCCUCGGCUUAACCGGGGAACUGCGUCUGAUACUGGAUGGCUGGAGUAUGGGAGAGGGAUGCGGAAUUCCAGGUGUAGCGGUGAAAUGCGUAGAUAUCUGGAGGAACACCGGUGGCGAAGGCGGCAUCCUGGACCAUUACUGACGCUGAGGAGCGAAAGCCAGGGGAGCAAACGGG